rnacentral:lncRNA from 1 species
CAAAACCAAACUAGUUGUGCUCCAUCAGAAGGCAGCUAUUUCCUCUAGCUGGUCGCCCAAUAGCCAGGCCAAAUUAGCGGCGCAGUGCAGUACCGUAUGCAGGUUGUACAGCAGAGGAGGGAAAACAUCUUACAGCGGCCCACGCCACACUCUUCAGUGAAAACAGAAUACAUUCCAGACCAAAAUAUCCCUGGAAAAGACAGCAUGUGAGCUCCGAACGAUACGCCCUAUUACCUCGGAAGACACAUCCCACAUCCCACGUUUGUUCUGCUUUGCAUGUUACCCCCUCCGACCACAGGCUCUUUUGCUCUUGAGCUUGCAAGUGUUUCCUUGGUGAUGGAAGUUUGUUGCCAAAGCAGACGAAUGAAUCAUCUAUUUACAGUCAAAGCGGUGAGCUGCCGGGGGAUACCGUAUGUUUCGGCAUGUGGCGUGCAAGUCUAAGGCCAGCCGAUGGUGAAAGCCCUUCCUUCCUCGCGGCUCCUCGGCGUAUGCCACGUCUGCAUGAUGGCACCCAACCUGGCCGCUGAGCAGAGCGCUACCUCUGCCAGGACCGUCGUCUU